CCUUAGUAACGGCGAGUGAAGCGGCAAAAGCUCAAAUUUGAAAUCUAGCACUUUCAGUGUUCGAGUUGUAAUUUGAAGAAGGUAUCUUUGGAGUUGGCCCCCGUCUAUGUUCCUUGGAACAGGACGUCACAGAGGGUGAGAAUCCCGUGCGAUGGGGAGAUCAAUUCUAUGUAAAGUUCCUUCGAAGAGUCGAGUUGUUUGGGAAUGCAGCUCUAAGUGGGUGGUAAAUUCCAUCUAAAGCUAAAUAUUGGCGAGAGACCGAUAGCGAACAAGUACAGUGAUGGAAAGAUGAAAAGAACUUUGAAAAGAGAGUGAAAAAGUACGUGAAAUUGUUGAAAGGGAAGGGCUUUUGAUCAGACUUGGUGUUUAGUACUCUCUACUCCUUGUGGGUGGGGCUCUUGCUUUAUACUGGGCCAGCAUCGGUUUGGAUGGUAGGAUAAUGACUUUGGAAUGUGGCUUCAUUCGUGGAGUGUUAUAGCCUUUGUUGAUACUGCCUAUCUAGACCGAGGACUGCGUCUUUUGACUAGGAUGCUGGCGUAAUGAUUAAAAGCCGCCCGUCUUGAAACA
rnacentral:rRNA from 1 species